AUUGAACGCUGGCGGAAUGCUUUACACAUGCAAGUCGAACGGCAGCACGGGGGCAACCCUGGUGGCGAGUGGCGAACGGGUGAGUAAUACAUCGGAACGUGCCCAGUCGUUGGGGAUAACUACGCGAAAGCGUAGCUAAUACCGCAUACGAACUCUGGUUGAAAGCGGGGGAUCGCAAGACCUCGCGCGAUUGGAGCGGCCGAUGGCAGAUUAGGUAGUUGGUGAGGUAAAGGCUCACCAAGCCGACGAUCUGUAGCUGGUCUGAGAGGACGACCAGCCACACUGGGACUGAGACACGGCCCAGACUCCUACGGGAGGCAGCAGUGGGGAAUUUUGGACAAUGGGCGCAAGCCUGAUCCAGCCAUUCCGCGUGCAGGAUGAAGGCCCUCGGGUUGUAAACUGCUUUUGUACGGAACGAAACGGUCCUGGUUAAUACCCGGGGCUAAUGACGGUACCGUAAGAAUAAGCACCGGCUAACUACGUG
rnacentral:rRNA from 1 species